UUGCUGAUAGAGUGAUUCAGAAAGCAGUCCGUCCGCCUCCGGCCUCCGCGUCGGCCGCCGGCGACGUGAUAGCUUAUCCUGAGCUCUGACCAGCAGUCACUUCUGACCUCGUCCUCGGAAUCUCCAUCCCCUUCCAACCACGCGGGCGGCACGCCCACGGCUCGCCGUCCAGUCCGCCCACACCGGCGGCCCGCACGCCGGCGCCUGAGGCUCCUCUGGCUUCUCCGCGCUUGGAACUGCCGGCAGCGCACGCCGAGACGCCGCUCCCUCGUCGGCUCGUCGCCCACUCGCCCUGAACACUUGGUUUUGCUUAGGAAGCAAUGGGGAAACAGCAGAGUCGAUGCAGUCAUUUUAAAAAAGAAAAGGGGACGAGGAAAUUGGUAAAUCUCCAUCAGCUCCUGAUGGUCUAGCAUUGAUGGUCGUUAGGUGUAGUCUUUUCUGGAGCACCAAAAUUUACUUACAAAUGCCCAGGUAUGUGUGAACUUGUCAUAUCUGUUUUAUUUGGAUGUGUCCAUCUUGAUGAUGCAGAGGCCGGGGCCUUCCCUCCCUUUUCAAUUUUUGUGUGUGUUCUAAUAUAGUGAUAUGGUCAAUUGUGUGAACUGAUGACAUGUUCAAUUGGUCAUUUAAUUAUCCCUUUCUAUUCUA